AUUUGCUCCAAAAACGUGGGUAGAUCUUUAAAAGGCCAUCCGAAUCCUUCCAACUUCUCCCUACGGGCUACAGCACUGGGAAAAAUCCAGCAGGUUCUGACAGAUUCUGGAGAACCGGGCAACAAGGAAUGCACAGGUCUGGAUUGGGAGGCCAGAGUUGGGUACUAAGCUGACUAUCUACAAGACCGCCUGCUACCACCAAUAGCCUCCCACCGACCAGUUCGCUCCCAUAGAGAGGGGCUCCUCCGGGUGCCGUCGGCCAAACAAUGUCGACUGGCGGCCCCCAGGGGGAGAGCCUUCUCUGUGGGGGCACCUACUAUCUGGAACGAGCUCCCCCCCGAGAUACGGAGGAUUCCGGAUCUGCGUACCUUCCGUCGCACGUUUAAGACGUUCCUAUUCCAGCAAGCCGGCCUGACCUAAACUUCUCCUCUUUUAAAUGGGAAUUUUAAAUUUGGUUUUAAAUUAUUGGGGUUUUAAAUAUGGUUCAGCCAAAUUUAUUUAACUUGUUUUAUUUCUAUUUUAAAUUUUGUAUUUAUAUGUUUUAUUUCAUGGCUGUUCACCGCCCUGAGUCCUUCGGGAGUAGGGCGGUAUACAAAUUUAAUAAAAUGAAAAUGAAAUGAAUGACGUCUCUGAGGGUAUAAAAGGACGCCAUACCUUCCCCAAGGUGUGGCUAUCUCCUCGCAUGCAUUGUAUCUGUAUGUUCUGGAUAUAGUUCCACCCAGUAUUUUGUUUUUGGCCAUAAAUAAAAUCUGGUUUUUUUGCAA